UUUUUCUCCCCAUCCACCAUACGGAGCACCCGAAUCAAAAGGACCACCAACUUUAUGAGCCCGAACGACAUCAUUCCAGAAUGAUGGAGCAAUAAGAAUUUUGGCAACCUCUCUCCCCGCAGCUUCCUUUGCAUAUUUAUUAUCUUUCUAAUCAGUCGAAAGAACUAGCUUUCUCAAAUUUCCCUUUUGCAAGUAAAAACUAUGCAAAGUUAAAAAAGCCGUUGCAAAUCUAGUCUUCGCCGGUCUCACAAAAUUUCUUUCUUGUGUG
rnacentral:lncRNA from 1 species